GCCCGAGUGGCGAAAUGGUAGACGCAGGGGAUUCAAAAUCCCCCGCCGCAAGGCGUGCCGGUUCGAGUCCGGCCUCGGGCACCA
rnacentral:tRNA from 1 species